rnacentral:lncRNA from 1 species
UUUGAAGUUUGAAAUUCUCCUAUCUUCUCCAAAUAUUCUCCUAGUUCUUCUCUUUUAGGGUUUAACCCUAUCAAAGUGUUGAUUACCGUGGAGGGUGGACAUAAAGAAUGAAAGACUGGAAAUUGCACCAGCAAGGGAAUCUUGGGGCUGAAAUUAAUGACUCAAUGGAUCAUGAUAUGGCAAUAUAAAGUUCAUAUCUGUAAUUAAUAUCAAAUUGAUAAUAUUUAAACAUCCCAGUUUGAACCGAACCUGUUUUGACCCAUUUGCAGGCUUGUUUUUUAAUACAAUUAUGGUCAUCACACUUAUCAUAAGAGUUUGCGACUACAUGGCUUGUUAGUUCUCCUGCAUUGUUUUUGGGCUUUGACGGGUGGUUCGUGGUUGGUACUGCACAUUCAGCCAAUGUGCUCCCCUAUUUGAGACGGAAGAGGUUUCCUUUCACAACAAAUUUUUACAUGCUAAAGGCUAGAGCACUGGUUGUUCCCGUUGGAUAUUACAUGCAUAUGCAGGCUAGGCACGAAAUUGAAACAGUGAUACCAAGAAUUCCUCAAAAGAUAGUGUUGUCAUAACUCACAACGGUUUGCUUUCACCGCCAAGUACUCCUUCUGCUGAACCUGAUUAUGAGAAUAAGAUUCUUUCAGAUGCAUUGCCUGAAAUUGUUCCUUAUGUCUUGAUUGAUCAUCGAGAGGAGCUUCUUCCUCUGAUGAUGUGUGCAAUUGAGCGUCACCCGAGUAGCAACACAAGGGAUUCCUUGACUCACACAUUGUUUAACUUGAUUAAGCGUCCAGAUGUUUUGGAAUCAAAUGGUGUAUGAAACCUGUUGUUGUAAACGAAUGGCGGUGACGAAGAAAGAAACAACAAGACAACAACAUCAGUAGAGUGACCGAGUGACUGAUCGAGUCAUUCUUGCUGAUACUGAUGUACUGUAUAUUGUUCAUGCAGCUGUAGCCUAACAAUACCCAUUUGAUAUUCCUACAGAGGCCUUUUAAUUUGAGAUAUUUAUACAAGCUUUUGUAGCAGUUCAACAAGUCCAAUCUGUUAACUAGCCAGCUUCAACUGCCACAACUAAACAAACGGACCCUCAGGAUGGGCAUUGGCGCUUGAAACUGCUCCAAGCUCUAAUGGGAGUGUCACAUCUACAAGCAAAUUGGUAAGUUCCAUGAGUUUUCUAGCCAUCCUCAUUUUCCUCAUUUUGAUGGCUACAAAGAUACCCUGAUGGUCACCAAGCUGAAGAACAUCAAGCAAAUUCUCAACUCAUGUGUUUUCUAAAUUCUCCAUGUGUGUAAAUUUGUUUUUUUAUUUUUGGAAUACAUAAUUGU